AACGAACGCUGGCGGCAGGCUUAACACAUGCGAGUCGAGCGCCCCGCAAGGGGAGCGGCCGACGGGUGAGUAACGCGUGGGAACGUACCUUUUGGUUCGGAACAACUCCGGGAAACUGGAGCUAAUACCGGAUAAGCCCUAACGGGGAAAGAUUUAUCGCCGAAAGAUCGGCCCGCGUCUGAUUAGCUAGUUGGUGAGGUAACGGCUCACCAAGGCGACGAUCAGUAGCUGGUCUGAGAGGAUGAUCAGCCACACUGGGACUGAGACACGGCCCAGACUCCUACGGGAGGCAGCAGUGGGGAAUAUUGGACAAUGGGCGCAAGCCUGAUCCAGCCAUGCCGCGUGAGUGAUGAAGGCCUUAGGGUUGUAAAGCUCUUUUGUCCGGGAAGAUAAUGACUGUACCGGAAGAAUAAGCCCCGGCUAACUUCGUG
rnacentral:rRNA from 1 species